UUAAGUCGACCGCCUGGGGAGUACGGCCGCAAGGUUAAAACUCAAAUGAAUUGACGGGGGCCCGCACAAGCGGUGGAGCAUGUGGUUUAAUUCGAUGCAACGCGAAGAACCUUACCUGGUCUUGACAUCCACGGAAGUUUUCAGAGAUGAGAAUGUGCCUUCGGGAACCGUGAGACAGGUGCUGCAUGGCUGUCGUCAGCUCGUGUUGUGAAAUGUUGGGUUAAGUCCCGCAACGAGCGCAACCCUUAUCCUUUGUUGCCAGCGGUCCGGCCGGGAACUCAAAGGAGACU
rnacentral:rRNA from 1 species